GAAGGCGAGGGUGGGAAGGCUGGGCUGGUAAGGGUCCAGGAAGGAGAGGCAAGUAGGAGCCAGAUCACGAAGGGCUUUGUGGGCUUUGUAGGCAUUGUAAAGACUUUGGAAAUGACAUUAGUCUUUUUUCUUUUAAGAGCUCCGUCAGUACAAAAUGCUGCUGAGAUUUUUUUUAACUGACGUAUAAUUGAUUUACAAUGUUGUGUUAAUUGCCGGUGUACAGCAAAGUGAUUCAGUCUCUCUCUCUCUCUAUAUAUAUAUAUAUAUUCAGUCCUAUAUAUAUAUCUGAAUCUGAAUAUACAUGUGUUCUAGGUUAUUACCAAAUAUUGAAUAUAGUUCUCUUAAUUCUCUAUGCUUUAUCUUGUUGGUUAUCUAUUUUAUAUAUGAAAUGACGUUAGUCUUCUGUGCCUUGUUUCUAUGUGAAAUCACCCUUGUUGCUGAUAACGACAUCCAUUCGUUUAAUAAUCAACUCUGGACUUUUGCUGGAGGUCGAGGUUUAGGUUUUUCUAUGUGAAAUCUUCAGAAGCCAUCCCUUUUCCCUUGUUGAAAGUGAAGCCAUUGCCUUUUGACAUAUCUCCUAUUUUCCAUGAUUUUUCAAAGAUCACGUGGAGUGAUGCUGAGUCCACAUCUGCAACUUCCUCCAAUAUCCGAGGAUCUAAUACAGAUCAGCCUGGAGACAGGAAUGCAUUUUCAAUGAGUAAAUUCUUUUUUUUUUUCUUCACUAGAUGGUGGCACAUCUUCACUGCUGUUUCUCUUUGUAUAGUGUUUGUGCUGUUCUCUUCCAUUUGAAGCUAUCAUUUGAUGGCAAAGGCAUAAGUAGAAUAGCAACUGAACUGAGUCUUCCUUCCACUGGUUGUUAAAAUUGUACCAUUUCCCUACCUUUUUUUUUUUUUGCUUUGAACAUACUAAUCUUGGUUCGAUUUUUCACAUGAAUUUUAGCUCAGAUAGUGUAUUGAUUUCUAAAUAUUGGUGUUUCCAUGGGCUCUUUUAGAUUUGUAUUGAUAACCAUUAAUGGUGGUAAUCACUUCCCUCCAGAUCUCUGGGGCAUUUUGACACCUCAGUUUUCCUUAUGUCCAACAUUUGGCACCCAGUCCUUAUGUUAGUGAGGACCCUUCGUCGAAAGCAGUAGAAAUAUGUCUCCACUGAUUUAAGUCUCAAGUGAUUUCCACCCCCGUAGGAUCUAAAGCCUUUAGAAUGUUAACAAGACUCUGUGUCUUUUUGCUUUGUUUUUUCUAUUUGUUUUCAUUCUUAGGUGGCUCUUCAGCCUGGCCAUCCCAGCAAAAGAAAAAAGAAUCUCUUCUCUAAUAACACCAGCAAAAAUCAUUCCUUCGCAAGAUAUGGUGUUCUCUUUGGCCAAGUGUGGGGUACAUGCCCCGCCUAAGCCAUAUGGCCUGUAAUGGAAAAGGUGGUUCCUCAAGGGAAGAUGAAUCAGAGUUCUGUUAUGACAGAGAGAUUGGAUAUUAGGAGGAAGAAUGGAUCUUUUCUUCUCUACGUGUGACCCCAAGCACAGGGCAGCCAGAGGGCUCACUGACAUGAUGUCUUAAUCGAGGCUCCUUCAACAUAGAAGACUCUAUAAACUGGGAGAAGAGCGAAGUCCUGAAAUAGACGGAGCCUGGGUCUCAAAUGACUGUGGAAAACUCCAUUGACUAGCAACUUCCACACUGGACUUGACAGAAAUAACCUCGGAAAAGGCUGACAUAAAAUUUGUCCAAAGAAGACUCUGUGCUGUUAAAAUAUUCAACUGAUACACGUGAGUAACAGUCAUAAUCAACUUUUAUUUUACAUACUUUACAGAAUGCCUUUGCAAACCAUGUUUUCAUGUUUAUGUUACAACACAUGACAUUUCUCUAUGAAAAUAUUUGUUAAAUAAUUUUGCAGAAGAAGUGGGUAAAAGUGAAGAAAGAGAGAAAAUAAGAUUUUAAAGCUAAUCUUAAGCGAUAGGCCUAAAUAUUUGACAACAAUUUCCUUUCACAGAAAAUCACAGGAUUGUAACUUUGAGACAUCAAAAGUGCAGUGCAUCAGUUAAACUAAAAAACCAGGACCAUUAGGAAUUCCCCUGUGGUACAGCAGAUUAAGGAUCUGGUGGUGUUACUGCUGUGGCUCAGGUCGCUGUUGUGGCAUGGGUUCAUCCCUGGCCUGGGAACUCUGACAUGCCUUGGGCCUGGCCAAAAAGACCCCUAAACCCCAGUAGAGUCAAAUGUAUUAUUUGGGUAUCAAAUUUCCCUUUCUACAUAUAUUCAGAGUUGCAUAAUUUUAUACUUAUUAAAUAAUGGUUUAAAAUAAUAAUUACCAAAAUCUUUAAAUAAUCCCAGUUCUGGAUUAAAUCAUGGUAAUAUUAAUAUUUUUUAAAAUUCCCAAUUUAUUUGUUCAUCAGUAAAAUAUAAUAUUUGACAAUGACCCCAGAGAUUAAGUUCUCUGUGUGUAGGAAGACGAUAAUCUCAUUACACCUGCUAUCACGUCACUCAGCUGCUAUUAUAUCACAAUUUUUUCCCCAUACUGAUGUUUCCACUUGAACAACAUACUACAAGUAGUUGUUAUUAUGUACUGAACUCAUUCCUGAAACAAGGAACCAUCUUUACAUUAGUAUUUUGUUGUUACGGUGUUUAGUCAUGAUAUCAUUAAGCACAAUGAAUUUUACUUAAUGAAUAAUGAUGAAUUAAGGCAAAAGGACAUUACCUGGUCCCCUUAAAAACUUAUCCUCUAUCUUUUAAAAAACUGUUGUUGAGGCUAUACAAAUUGCAGAUCUGCUGGCUAGAAAGACACCAUUAGUCCCUUGGUGUUCACAGCAUGUUCUUUUGACCUACCAGCAUGAUCAUUCCUCAGCAGGACCCACCAUUCUGAUUUUCAAAUGAUACUGUUCACGUGCUAGGCCUCUUGGCUGUACAUAUGUAGAUUAUUUCUCUUGAUUAAAAAUAUUCAGUAAUUCGGCAAUAAUCUACUCAGCCUUUUUGCCCUCGCCAUUGAAUAAUUUUUCAUUUUUACAACCAUUUCCUGCAUGGUUGCUGAACUUUUCUUCUGUCAUCUUCUUCACAUAAUCAAGUGGUCCAUUCCCUUCAAAGGAGGAGGGGUUUUUGAAUGAGCCUCCAAUUCUGUCCCACAACGUGAAGUACUGUCCAUAGUUAUAGUCAAAGAGCAUAUGGUGGUCUGUAUGAUGGGCUGAGCCAUUAAUAAAUGGCCUUAAGCUCUGGGGAACACGGAAGUCACCGUCAUGAAUGGAAAUUGUCCAGAUAUUGACCAAAA